UAGUGCUGAAUUCACUAUCGGCGAAGGUGAGUUGAUGGCU
rnacentral:rRNA from 1 species